rnacentral:rRNA from 1 species
UGAGAGACUGAUCGGCCACAUUGGGACUGAGACACGGCCCAAACUCCUACGGGAGGCAGCAGUAGGGAAUCUUCCUACAAUGGACGAAAGUCUGAUGGAGCAACGCCGCGUGAGUGAAGAAGGGUUUCGGCUCGUAAAGCUCUGUUGGUAGUGAAGAAAGAUAGAGGUAGUAACUGGCCUUUAUUUGACGGUAAUUACUUAGAAAGUCACGGCUAACUACGUGCCAGCAGCCGCGGUAAUUCGUAGGUGGCAAGCGUUGUCCGGAUUUAUUGGGUGUAAAGCGAGUGCAGGCGGUUCAAUAAGUCUGAUGUGAAAGCCUUCGGCUCAACCGGAGAAUUGCAUCAGAAACUGUUGAACUUGAGUGCAGAAGAGGAGAGUGGAACUCCAUGUGUAGCGGUGGAAUGCGUAGAUAUAUGGAAGAACACCAGUGGCGAAGGCGGCUCUCUGGUCUGCAACUGACGCUGAGGCUCGAAAGCAUGGGUAGCGAACAGGAUUUAGAUACCCUGGUAGUCCAUGCCGUAAACGAUGAGUGCUAAGUGUUGGGAGGUUUCCGCCUCUCAGUGCUGCAGCUAACGCAUUAAGCACUCCGCCUGGGGAGUACGACCGCAAGGUUGAAACUCAAAGGAAUUGACGGGGGCCCGCACAAGCGGUGGAGCAUGUGGUUUAAUUCGAAGCAACGCGAAGAACCUUACCAGGUCUUGACAUCCAGUGCAAACCUAAGAGAUUAGGUGUUCCCUUCGGGGACGCUGAGACAGGUGGUGCAUGGCUGUCGUCAGCUCGUGUCGUGAGAUGUUGGGUUAAGUCCCGCAACGAGCGCAACCCUUGUCAUUAGUUGCCAUCAUUAAGUUGGGCACUCUAAUGAGACUGCCGGUGACAAACCGGAGGAAGGUGGGGAUGACGUCAAGUCAUCAUGCCCCUUAUGACCUGGGCUACACACGUGCUACAAUGGACGGUACAACGAGAAGCGAACCUGCGAAGGCAAGCGGAUCUCUUAAAGCUGUUCUCAGUUCGGACUGUAGGCUGCAACUCGCCUACACGAAGCUGGAAUCGCUAGUAAUCGCGGAUCAGCACGCCGCGGUGAAUACGUUCCCGGGCCUUGCACUCACCGCCCGUCA